rnacentral:rRNA from 1 species
GACGAACGCUGGCGGCGUGCCUAACACAUGCAAGUCGAACGAAGAAUGUUUUCGGAAUAUUCUUAGUGGCGGACGGGUGAGUAACGCGUGAACAAUCUGCCCCGUACAAAGGGAUAGCCUCGGGAAACCGGGAUUAAAACCAUAUAACACUUAACUGCCGCAUGGUAGUGAAGUCAAAUCGAUUAAGAGGUACGGGAUGAGUUCGCGUCUGAUUAGCUAGUUGGUGAGGUAAGGGCUCACCAAGGCGACGAUCAGUAGCCGGCCUGAGAGGGUGAACGGCCACACUGGAACUGAGACACGGUCCAGACUCCUACGGGAGGCAGCAGUGGGGAAUAUUGCACAAUGGAGGGAACUCUGAUGCAGCGACGCCGCGUGAGUGAAGAAGGUCUUCGGAUCGUAAAACUCUGUCCUUGGUGAAGAAAAGGACGGUAGCCAAGGAGGAAGCCCCGGCUAACUACGUG